AGGAUAAACGCUGGCGGCGUGCCUAACACAUGCAAGUCGAACGCGCUUGCUAUCCGCGAGGACGGUGAGCGAGUGGCGGACGGGUGAGGAACACGUGGGUGACCUACCUUUCAGUGAGGGAUACCGGCGAGAAAUUGCCGACAAGACCGCAUACGCUUCUCUUUUCAAGGGGAGAAGGAAAGCUUUUCGCAAGAGAGGCGCUGGGAGAUGGGCCUGCGGCCGAUUAGCUAGCUGGUGGGGUAAUGGCCUACCAGGGCGACGAUCGGUAGCUGGUCUGAGAGGACGAUCAGCCACACUGGGAUUGAGAACGGCCCAGACUCCUACGGGGGGCAGCAGUGAGGAAUUUUCGGCAAUGGGGCAACCCUGACCGAGCAACGCCGCGUGCAGGACGACGGCCUUCGGGUUGUAAACUGCUUUCUCGUGGGACGAGCAAGGACGGUACCGAGAGGAAGAAGCCCGGCUAACGUACGCGCCAGCAGCCGC
rnacentral:rRNA from 1 species